CUCAUAAACAUGGCUUGGUCCUGACUCAGCAGCUGUGGGUGGUGUUCUUGGGCUUGAGCCCAUAUUUACAAGUCCUGCAAGAGGGAAAGUACCUGUCUUUCCUUAGCCUCAUGUAACUAAAACAGUAUCAAUGCAGUCUUUUUUUGUAAUUGAUUGAUAUUUUUAAAAUAGGUUUAAAAUAAAUAAAAAAUCUCACGGAUAUGUUUUUCAAAAAAGGCACGGCAAGUAAUACUGUUCUUAGUAUUCGAGCAGCUCUGCUUGUACAAAUGUGCUUUCUGCGUUUAUUUGAAAUGUGUGUGCCCAAAUACAUCAGCGCAGUUUUAGAACAUGAAGCUUUUACUUUUAUUCAUCUAUCUCUGUCAGCUGUAUUGUUAUAUAUGUAUUGAAAGGUAAAGGUCAUGUGUUUGUGGCUCUCACUUCUUCAGUCAUGAAGCACAUUUUUGUGGUGUGAAUAAAGUUUUGGACAAUUCGAGAUUUAGGCACUAAAUUCCAUUUCUCUCCCCUUAGCACAACUGCUCUGUGUAUGCACACACAGAUGUGAACCACACACUGGCUAACGUCAUCAAGAGAACUAAAGGACAAAAUGUACUGAAUUGAUGUAUUUUUAUAAAGUCACCACUGUGCCUGGUUCAAAGUUCCACCAGCAUAAGAUUUACACACACAGCCUUUUGUCCGUGGGAAACUUUGGGCACAGGCCUCACAUAUAAGCGCGGUAUGGGAGUCAAGAGUGGGUGCAGAAUCUGCCAGCCAAGGGGCUGCCUAUGCUCCCGGGAAAAAGCUGCUGAUGCCUGCCACUCUCGCACGUACCCUCUGUAUUUGGCACCAACACUCUGUUGACACUCGCCACAGAAAGAAGCACCAUAGUAAGUGAAAACUGCAUAUGUGUGGAGCUAUCACAACAUGCCAUGCUUACAUACCAAGAUAGGCCUGGAAAUACUAAGAA